rnacentral:sRNA from 1 species
GCUGGGCAUGGUGGUGCAUGUCUGUAAUCUCAACAUCUCAGGAGGCUGAGGUAGGAGGAUCGUGUGUUCAAAGCCAGGUUCAGCAAAAGCGAAGUGCUGAGCAACUCGGUGAGAUCCUGUCUCUA